GACGAACGCUGGCGGCGUGCUUAACACAUGCAAGUCGAACGGAAAGGCCCCUUUGGGGGUACUCGAGUGGCGAACGGGUGAGUAACACGUGAGUAACCUGCCCUUGACUUCGGGAUAACUUCAGGAAACUGGGGCUAAUACCGGAUAGGAAUCCUUGCUGCAUGGUGGGGGUUGGAAAGCUUCGGCGGUUUUGGAUGGACUCGCGGCUUAUCAGCUUGUUGGUGGGGUAGUGGCUUACCUAGGCUUUGACGGGUAGCCGGCCUGAGAGGGCGACCGGCCACAUUGGGACUGAGAUACGGCCCAGACUCCGACGGGAGGCAGAAGUGGGGAAUAUUGAACAAUGGGCGGAAGCCUGAUGCAGCAACGCCGCGGGCGGGAGGACGGCCUUCGGGUUGUAAACCGCUUUCAGCAGGGGCGAAGCUUGUGGUGACGGUACCUGCAGAAGAAGCACCGGCUAACUACGUG
rnacentral:rRNA from 1 species